rnacentral:lncRNA from 1 species
GUUCGGCUGACUGCUAGCCUACCGCUCUUACCAUUUUUUCCCAAGACAGAGGCAUGGUAUAACCUGAUCUGUAAUGAGGUGGCCCAGGAGGGAUGGGCCCAGUCGGCCUUGACAGCUUUCAAAGCUUUCCCUUCAAGGCUAUGGCUCAAGUGUGCCAGGGGAAGAUUGUCGACACCUCCGUUUUCCCACAGAGGCUAGCGGAAGCCAUGCAGGGCUGCCAUUAGACUCCCUGAGCUGCGGUUAAAUUACUUGAGGAGCGGUGCCCACUCCAGAAGCGGAUGCACUUAGACUUCCGUUUGUUUCCUCAAAUCCGGUCACGGGAUUUGUGUCUUCCUCGGAGAGGCAUCCAGAUCUGUUACUUCCAGUUCACCGCUCUCGCAGCACCGUUUCAAAUGCGCUUUGUAAUUUACUCCUCAGACCCUGGGGAAAGGAUCGGCUCCAGGCAGCCAUUUUCAUCACAGCAUCAUUCACAAGAGAAAUAACAUCAUCAUGUGCCUGAUAAAGUACAAU